CGGGGGGAGCAAGCGUUGUUCGGAUUUACUGGGCGUAAAGGGCGCGUAGGCGGCGCAACAAGUCACUUGUGAAAUCUCCGGGCUUAACCCGGAGCGGCCAAGUGAUACUGUCGUGCUAGAGUGCGGAAGGGGCUACUGGAAUUCUCGGUGUAGCGGUGAAAUGCGUAGAUAUCGAGAGGAACACCUGCGGCGAAGGCGGGUAGCUGGGCCGACACUGACGUCUGAGGCGCGAAAGCCAGGGGGAGCGAACGGGAUUAGAUACCCCGGUAGUCCUAGCCUUAAACGAUGAAUGCUUGGUGUCUGGGGUUUUAUAGUCCCCGGGUGCCGUCGCUAACGCUUUAAGCAUUCCGCCUGGGGAGUACGGUCGCAAGACUG
rnacentral:rRNA from 1 species